AUUGCAACUUUGUGAAGAUGCCCCUUGCAGAGAGGAUUGCUUGUGUGGCACAACAAAAUUGCAGAUAGAAACACAAGGAAUGAAAAGGCGUGACUCCUGGAGGUCCAAGGGUUUGUCGUGCGAUGUUCCUUGAACAAAUCCUCAAGGAGAAACGCCUGCUUUCCACGGUGGUGAUGGCCUCCUGUUACCAUCACCUUUCUUGAAGCAGGUAGAGUAUUGCCUGGCAGCUAGAUAUUGUUUGGGACAGGAAAAGCUCUUCCCUGCCAAACACUUGAAACUGCCACAGUC